rnacentral:rRNA from 1 species
GUUUGAUCAUGGCUCAGGACGAACGCUGGCGGCGUGCUUAACACAUGCAAGUCGAACGAAGAGCGAUGGAAGCUUGCUUCUAUCAAUCUUAGUGGCGAACGGGUGAGUAACGCGUAAUCAACCUGCCCUUCAGAGGGGGACAACAGUUGGAAACGACUGCUAAUACCGCAUACGAUCUAAUCUCGGCAUCGAGGAUAGAUGAAAGGUGGCCUCUAUUUAUAAGCUAUCACUGAAGGAGGGGAUUGCGUCUGAUUAGCUAGUUGGAGGGGUAACGGCCCACCAAGGCGAUGAUCAGUAGCCGGUCUGAGAGGAUGAACGGCCACAUUGGGACUGAGACACGGCCCAGACUCCUACGGGAGGCAGCAGUGGGGAAUCUUCCGCAAUGGACGAAAGUCUGACGGAGCAACGCCGCGUGAGUGAUGACGGCCUUCGGGUUGUAAAGCUCUGUUAAUCGGGACGAAAGGCCUUCUUGCGAAUAGUGAGAAGGAUUGACGGUACCGGAAUAGAAAGCCACGGCUAACUACGUGCCAGCAGCCGCGGUAAUACGUAGGUGGCAAGCGUUGUCCGGAAUUAUUGGGCGUAAAGCGCGCGCAGGCGGAUAGGUCAGUCUGUCUUAAAAGUUCGGGGCUUAACCCCGUGAUGGGAUGGAAACUGCCAAUCUAGAGUAUCG